CCUUUUUCUUCUUCUUCUUCUUCCUACUACUUCCCGCAUUUCCUUUCUUCGCACACCAAAUUUACAAAAUAUUCCAUUUCUCUCCACACAAACCCGAAGACCAAGAGAAGGAGCUGAGGAAGAUGUCUCUGCGAGUAUUGAACCCUAACGCCGAGGUUCUGAACAAAUCGGCGGCGCUUCAUAUGAACAUCAACGCUGCCAAGGGCUUGCAGGAUGUUCUCAAAACCAACCUCGGCCCCAAAGGGACCAUCAAGAUGCUUGUUGGUGGAGCUGGAGAUAUCAAGCUCACUAAGGACGGUAACACUCUCUUGAAAGAAAUGCAAAUUCAAAACCCAACUGCAAUUAUGAUUGCAAGGACAGCUGUUGCCCAAGAUGACAUAAGUGGAGAUGGUACAACUUCUACUGUGAUCUUUAUUGGAGAGCUUAUGAAACAGUCUGAACGAUACAUUGAUGAAGGUAUGCAUCCCCGUGUUAUGGUUGAUGGUUUUGAGGUUGCCAAAAAAGCUACACUCCAGUUUCUUGAAAAAUUUAAGACUCCUGUGAUUUCUGGUGAUGAACCGGACAAAGAGAUUCUAAAAAUGGUUGCAAGAACAACACUAAGAACAAAAUUAUAUGAAGCUUUGGCUGAUCAAUUAACUGACAUAGUUGUUAAUGCGGUGCUUUGUAUUAGAAAGCCUGAAGAAGCCAUAGAUCUAUUCAUGGUGGAGAUUAUGCACAUGCGUCAUAAAUUUGAUGUUGACACAAGGCUGGUUGAAGGUCUUGUCCUUGAUCAUGGUUCUAGGCAUCCUGACAUGAAGCGACGAGCAGAGAACUGUUAUAUCUUGACUUGCAACGUGUCUUUAGAAUAUGAGAAAAGUGAAAUAAAUGCAGGAUUUUUCUACUCAAAUGCAGAGCAAAGGGAAGCAAUGGUUGCAGCUGAAAGGCGUCAGGUGGAUGAAAGAGUGAAAAGAAUCAUUGAACUUAAAAACAAGGUUUGUUCUGGUAAUGACAACAACUUUGUUGUUAUUAAUCAGAAGGGUAUUGAUCCCCCAUCUCUGGACCUUCUUGCUCGCGCUGGGAUAAUUGCCCUUCGAAGAGCCAAGAGAAGAAAUAUGGAACGACUGGUUUUGGCUUGUGGUGGUGAAGCGGUGAAUUCUGUUGAUGAUUUAACCCCUGAUUGCCUUGGUUGGGCUGGAUUGUUUUAUGAGCACAUCCUUGGUGAAGAGAAAUAUACAUUUGUUGAAAAUGUGAAAAAUCCCUCUUCCUGUACAAUCUUGAUAAAAGGACCUAAUGACCACACAAUUGCCCAAAUAAAGGAUGCUGUACGUGAUGGCCUAAGAGCUGUCAAAAAUACCAUUGAAGAUGAAGCUGUUGUACUUGGAGCAGGUGCUUUUGAAUUUGCAGCCAGAAAAUACUUGAUAAAUGAAGUAAAGAAAACAGUGCAAGGGCGUGCUCAGCUUGGUGUUGAAGCUUUUGCUGAUGCCCUUCUUGUGGUGCCCAAAACACUGGCGGAGAACUCUGGCCUUGAUACUCAAGAUGAGAUUGUUUCCCUUACGGGAGAGCAUGACAGGGAUAAUAUUGUGGGAAUAAACCUGCAAAUAGGGGGCCCCCUUGACCCCCAAAUGGAGGGCAUCUUUGACAACUACUCUGUUAAACGCCAAAUCAUAAACUCUGGGCCUGUAAUUGCGUCCCAGUUAUUAUUGGUGGAUGAAGUGAUUAGGGCUGGGCGAAAUAUGAGGAAACCAAAUUAAAACUUAGUAUGCUUCAGCAUGUACUUUUUGCCUCACACAGAUUCCUUCUGCUGUCUCGGAGUGUAAUGAAGCCCAAGUUUAUUCAUUGGAGGAUGGUUGUGUUUUCGGGACUGUGGUAGGGGGAAUCUCCAUUUGUUUGAUCUUGUGGAAUUUGUUUAAGAAUGAACACUCGCCUUUUUAUUCAUUGGAGGAUGGUUGUGUUUUCGGGACUGUGGUAGGGGGAAUCUCCAUUUGUUUGAUCUUGUGGAAUUUGUUUAAGAAUGAACACUCGCCUUUUUAUUUACUCAUCCGGCUGUUUUUCCAUGUUGACAAUCAUUCUUUUUAAGUUAUACUGUGUCAGGGCCAUUUUUUCGGUAGCCGCUGGGCUAAAAUUGCACCUAAAUGUUGCUGGGGUUGAUUGCAAAGGGAAGAUUUGAAAAUGAAUUUAGGGUUUAUUUGAAUGGGUGUGGAUCAAGUAUAGAUGGAUUUUGAUUUGUAUUUCAAAAUGAAAAUUUAUAAAAGAAAGAUGGC
rnacentral:misc_RNA from 1 species